GCGGCGGCUCCGCUCGGUCUCUCUCGCGCGUCCGAGCCUGCCACAGAAAGUAACUCCGCGGCGCGGCCCCGCUCUCUCCCCCCGUCCAGCCCCCAGCAGCUGCCUACGCUACCAGGCGAAGCGGUGCCGAGUUCUCACCGCCAUUUGCAAACAAAAGUUUUAAAUUAAUGAUAAACCUGGGAUCGGAGGAAGGGCGGCGGAGAGGAGGCCAACGAGGGAAAGUUAAAAUGGCUGGCGAGCCUUCAAAUAACCCUGGCCGUCUCGCCCACGUACGCGACAGAGUCCCAGCCUUCCCUGCCAGCGCUGAUCCGCUGGGGAACCACCCCACCUAUUUUAGGGAGAACCCCCCCGGCACAUGGGGCUGGGAAGGGAGCACCCGGCUCACUUUGGUGAGUUCACAGAGGUGCCGGCGUCUGCAGGUUAAUUAGAUCUGCUUCAGCGUGUGGCACAUGCUUGACCCCCCCCCACACACACACACACUGAAAUACAUCGAGGAGGUGGGGGGAAAGGAGGAUAUUUUAUUUGCUGAAGCAGAGACACGGCUGGCACCCAAGCUGGGGUUGCUUAGGGCGAAGAGGGGCCUUGACACAGGGGAGCUGACCCUCCCCGGGCCACCCUGGGAGAGUGUUAGAAGGGUCACCGCUGAAACGUGUACUUGGCAAGCGGUGAGUGGCGACACCAGUUCCAUUGCGCUUCUGCGUCUCUCCCCCCGCCCCCGCCACACAUUUCCCUUGUGUGAAUGGCGGAGCUGAAGCGGAAAAGGCUUCGGCUCCACGGGGGAGAAGGGGGGGGGGGUGUUCUAGAGUAUAAAUCGCGAAGGGCAGCUUCGCAUUUCAUCCUGCCACUUCUCCAGCAGCGACAUUAAUAACGCCCCCUCCUCCUCCUCCGGGGAGGAGAUGAGCGGGGGGGAGAGGUAGCUAGGCGGACAUGCUUGCCAGAGAAGGCAGCUCCUGCACCAUACGCCACAGAGCCACUAGAUCUAAACCCCUUUUAUCGAUGGCCCUUAGCCACAGUCUUGCCCCCCUUUCCAAGCGAUAGUUUAGGCUCCCUCUGUCACCGACCCCCUCGUCUGCAUCUCUCACUUCCUAGACCGUCCGCGCCAUUUUAGAGACACACAGAGGAGCGAGGGUUUCCGCUGCUGCUGCCGCCAGAGACAACAGGCAGCAGCCGAGCCUGAGCUGCGCAGAAGGAGCAGCAGGAGAGAGAUAGAUACAGCCGGCCUGGCACAAAUGUGCAUUUCAGUCACCAGCUCACGCUGUACCGUACGGUGGGGGAGCACCCCCCCGACCCCCCGCAGUAUCCACAGGGGACGUUAGCAGAUAUUGAUCACGGACGAGUUGAUUUUGCAUAAUUGUGGCUGACAGUGCCUGUGGUUCCCUCAUUUACGGAGCAACAGCUUUGAGAGGCUGAUUGAUUAGGAGCAGCUCCCUCCCCCCUUUUCCCCAGACAGACACACAACCUAUCACCAGGAGGAGGCAGUUUGAAGGCGAUUCUCUCCGGAGAGUAAAGCAGCUACUCAUUAUACAGCAAAUGGCCGGCGCGCCGGCAGCGAGAUAUUAAACUUGCUCCUCUGUCUAACGUUUUAUCUAGCUUAACUAGCCUGAGAGCCUUCUGCUCCCCGCAGGACUUUGUCUAUGCAGCAAGGUUUGUUUGGAGGAAGAGGGGCGGGGGACUCAACUGCACCGUUUUAGACACAAGAUGGACAGUUAUAUUCAGCGAUCAUUUAAGAAAAGCGCUUGGGAAGUUGGAGCGGCUUACAAACAACUCAGUCGGCGUAUGCUUAGCAAUACUUGAAGAGUACCACCCUGCCUCAAAAUAUGUAUAGUGCUUACAAUGCGAAUGUUUCCCCCUCCUGGGAAAUACUUUCCGAGUACUUCUGAAAAUCACGGAACAUUUUAGACAGCAGUUACAAACAAGCAGCUGCGCGCACGUCUAUAGGUUUCUACAUAACUACUGGUCCCAAACCCUCACAUCAUCUUCUCCAGACCGUUUAAAGAAACAGUUAUCCUAUAGAGAGCAGGUAGGCAUGUGCCAGUCAUUUGAUUUUAAGACUCUUCUUCAAACAGCAGAAUCGUACGUUUAUUACGUGAAUCCGAAAGUUACUGUAAAAGCAAAGCCAGGCUUUCUAUACAAAGUUUUGCGAUGUUCCUCUGGGUUAAUACCCCACAGUUGUAGGAAGACUCACACAGACAUCGGUCGUACAGGGAAACACUAAGGACCAUUUCCAUCUCUGCUUUUUCGUCUUAGAACUCGGCACCAAAACAAAACACUGAAGCAACUGCUAUGCAGAUGGGCGGCUAUGAAUUUUUGCUGCUGCUUAGAGCUUUAAUUACUCGCUCUUGAUCCGUGGGACUACGGCACUACACCGCCAAGGUUAAAAUGCCCUGAACAGCUCUGAGCAGAUGUGAGCGAGUUGGCAGACGCGCAAAUGAGGUCUGCCUCUAAGCACGAUAACAAGUGACUAAUACAUUGCAUAUCUCUGAAAGAAAAUUAUUUUUCUCUAAUUUGCAUUAGCUUUUUUUAAAAGCCAGCGACAGUCCCUCCGCAGAGGCAACACUAUAAUCCUGGAAAUACUGCUCCGUGACUUUAAAAGAUUUGGAAGAAGGAAGAGAGUGCCAGUAUUUUGGCGACGUAGACUUGUUUAUCUUUCCGCCUUAGCUUCAAGGCGAAACUAGUUUCGCAAGCAAUGUUCCUACAGAAAUGGCAUACGUCAUAUGAAAGAUUAAUUUAUAGCAUUGACGCUAAGAUUAUUGAAUUACUAUUGGAGUAAUUUCCACCGUCAAUAGCACAACGUUAUUCAUAAAGACUCAACAGCAUAAGAA